CACCGACUGUCUGGAGCACAGUACCCUGGAAAAAUGCUUAGAAGUUCAAUGACAGGUAACAGGGUCUCACUAUAGUCCUGGUUGUCCUGGAACUCCCUAUGUGGACCAGCAUGGCCUUAAAGUCACAGAAAUAUGCCUGCCUCUGCAUCCCAAGUGCCAAGAUUAGAGGCAUGUGCCACCAUGCCCAGCAAUGGAUCUUGACAGUAGUAAGUCAACCAGUGAGAGGAUGCCCUCAGGAUUGUUUUGUGUGCAGUCUAUAGCUGCCAUUUUGACUUGAUGUAAUGACAAACAACAGCUUCCAGGUCUCAGGGAAGAAAGAGAAAAAAGAUGUCUCAUGAUUCUAGAGUUUUCAGUUGGUAAAGGUUCUGGAAAUUAAUUGUACUGAUAUUUGUAGAGGAAGUUAUUCUAUUUUGCCCCGUACUAAGCUAUAAUCUUACAGAUAAAAUGAUAUUCUUUAUGCUAUAAUGUUUUAUAUAUUCAGUGUGUAUGCACAUGUGGGUGUGUC
rnacentral:lncRNA from 1 species